AACAAACGCUGGCGGCGUGCCUAACACAUGCAAGUCGUACGAGAAAGUCCGCUUCGGUGGAUGAGUAAAGUGGCGCACGGGUGAGUAACGCGUGGAUAAUCUGCCCUUCAGUUGGGAAUAACUCAUCGAAAGGUGGGCUAAUACCGAAUAAUGCUGCACAACAUAAGUUGCAAAGCCAAAGAUAGCCUCUGCUUGCAAGCUAUUGCUGAAGGAUGAGUCCGCGUACCAUUAGCUUGUUGGUAGGGUAAUGGCCUACCAAGGCGACGAUGGUUAGCUGGUCUGAGAGGAUGAUCAGCCACACUGGAACUGAGACACGGUCCAGACUCCUACGGGUGCUG
rnacentral:rRNA from 1 species